UGGGAGAAAAGUUUGAAGGAAGAGAGGAGACAAGAACGGAAGGGAAGGAGGGGAGAGUAGGUGGAGACAAUAUGGAGGCUGACGUUAAGAUUCUACGCUGUACCUUUACAGAUACUAUUCUUGAGCUGUUCUGCUGCUUCUUGAUGAUAUGGAGGCUGCCACGUUGCUGGCACUCAGGAGCUUCUCUGUGGCUGCUGAUGCAUCUGACGCUGUGAGACACCGGCCCUGCAGCUCUGCUUCCUUUUGCAGCCAUCUAUGUUUCUGCCAUCUGUUCUGCUGUAGGUGUAGCGCCUCUGUUUUACUGUCACCGUUGAUGCUUUGUGUUGUCAGCUCAUACUGCACUACUAAAAGUAAGCAAGAAAGUGUGUCAUGUUGCAACGCCAGGAGAGGUGAAACAUGAGGGUGCCACUGAAGAUCCUCACGUGACACCAAAAGCCUGCCUAAUUGGACAGAAGAGGGCGUUUGUGUCAAUCACAGCAAACAAACGGCCCCGAGCAAAUGAACAUUUGUGUGUGAACCAUCCACAGCAGCCCUUUUGGGUCGCUAGGAAAUGGCUCAUGGCCACCCACAGUUCACUGAGGAAAAUGAAUGUCUGGAGGAGCGCUGACAAUAAGACCUUAAAGAACUCAUAAUUAAUAGUAAUGUGACCUUAACCUUGCCUAAUACUCACCCAGAGCCUCAAGCACGUAGGCUCUCAUCAGUCUCGGUGAGUUAAAUAGAUUAUCCGUGCGAAUCACAUGUUGACAGUCUGUUACCUGCAGUAGCAUAGCCUACAGCGUGGCCGAAGGAGCUGGUGAUUCAAACCAAAACCAUGCAAACAAAGGCAGCACUGUUUUCUUUUACGGUUCCGUUUUUAGUUUUGCAAAGUACAGCAGAGACUUGGCUCGCCUUACGGGAUGAUGGGUGCUGAUUAACUGAGUUUUCUGAUGGGUUAAGCCGAC